rnacentral:rRNA from 1 species
GCACGAAAGCGUGGGGAUCAAACAGGAUUAGAUACCCUGGUAGUCACGCCCUAAACGAUGAUCACUAGAUAUUGGCGACAGACAGUCAGUGUCCAAGCGAAAGUGAUAAGUGAUCCACCUGGGGAAUACGGCCCGCAAGGUUAAAACUCAAAGGAAUUGACGGGGGCCCGCACAAGCGGAGGAGCAUGUGGUUUAAUUCGAUGGUACGCGAGGAACCUUACCUGGGUUAGAACGUAUGAUAGAUGUAGCUGAAAGGUUACAGUCCUGCAAGGGAUAUCAUACGAGGUGCUGCAUGGUUGUCGUCAGCUCGUGCCGUGAGGUGUUUGGUUAAGUCCAGCAACGAGCGCAACCCCUACCUUUAGUUGCCAGCAGGUAAAGCUGGGGACACUAGAGGGACUGCCUGCGCAAGCAGAGAGGAAGGUGGGGAUGACGUCAAAUCAGCACGGCCCUUAUGUCCAGGGCUACACACGUGCUACAAUGGUAACUACAGAGGGCAGCGACUAGGCGACUAGGAACGAAUCUCGAAAAGUUAUCUCAGUUCGGAUUGGAGUCUGCAACUCGACUCCAUGAAGGUGGAUUCGCUAGUAAUCGCGCAUCAGCAAUGGCGCGGUGAAUACGUUUCCGGGCCUUGUACACACCGCCCGUCAAGCCAUGGAAGUUGGGGGUACCUAAAGUUCGUAACCGUAAAAGGAGCGACCUAGGGUAAACUCGAUGACUGGGGCUAAGUCGUA